rnacentral:lncRNA from 1 species
AUUGUAUGGUUUUCAAGAUUUUUCGAGGGCACAUUUGCUAUUACGGGAAACAACAAAUGAAAGUUUUUAACGACCUUGACUGGCUAUACAGCCCUUGCACGGUCGGCCCUGGCAUUGAAUUAUUACGGGAGAGAUAACAUCUUUGUCAACCAAAUUAAACUUUAUUUUCGUUAAUUUGUCUAGUUCUUUGUGGUGCGCCAGGCUCUUGAAGUUGAACGUUCAAUCUCCAUCUUUGAAUGCUGCUCUUUACCAUGGUAACCAGGUGGGGGUUUCCGAGACACCAGAAAUUAAGACUUUGAAUGAUAUCAGGGAUGAUAAAAAUAAGUUGAGUAUGAAAGUUUCAAGGACACUAGUGUGUUUUAUUUUUGUCGUUAAAUUAACAAAAUUCUUCUUUGUGUCCUAUAUUCG